rnacentral:rRNA from 1 species
GACGAACGCUGGCGGCGUGCUUAACACAUGCAAGUCGAACGCUGAAGCUCAGCUUUUGUUGGGUGGAUGAGUGGCGAACGGGUGAGUAACAAGUGAGUAACCUGCCCCCUUCUUUGGGAUAACGCCCGGAAACGGGUGCUAAUACUGGAUAUUCACUGGUCUUCGCAUGGGGGUUGGUGGAAAGGGUUUUUCUGGUGGGGGAUGGGCUCGCGGCCUAUCAGCUUGUUGGUGGGGUGAUGGCCUACCAAGGCUUUGACGGGUAGCCGGCCUGAGAGGGUGACCGGUCACAUUGGGACUGAGAUACGGCCCAGACUCCUACGGGAGGCAGCAGUGGGGAAUAUUGCACAAUGGGCGCAAGCCUGAUGCAGCGACGCCGCGUGAGGGAUGGAGGCCUUCGGGUUGUGAACCUCUUUCGCUCAUGGUCAAGCCGCAACAAUGGUUGUGGUGAGGGUAGUGGGUAAAGAAGCGCCGGCUAACUACGUG